rnacentral:rRNA from 1 species
CUNUCUGACUUGAGUGCAGAAGGGGAGAGUGGAAUUCCAUGUGUAGCGGUGAAAUGCGUAGAUAUAUGGAGGAACACCAGUGGCGAAAGCGGCUCUCUGGUCUGUCACUGACGCUGAGGCUCGAAAGCGUGGGUAGCGAACAGGAUUAGAUACCCUGGUAGUNCACGCCGUAAACGAUGAGUGCUAGGUGUUAGGCCCUUUCCGGGGCUUAGUGCCGGAGCUAACGCAAUAAGCACUCCGCCUGGGGAGUACGACCGCAAGGUUGAAACUCAAAGGAAUUGACGGGGGCCCGCACAAGCGGUGGAGCAUGUGGUUUAAUUCGAAGCAACGCGAAGAACCUUACCAGGUCUUGACAUCCCGAUGCUAUUCUUAGAGAUAGGAAGUUACUUCGGUACAUCGGAGACAGGUGGUGCAUGGUUGUCGUCAGCUCGUGUCGUGAGAUGUUGGGUUAAGUCCCGCAACGAGCGCAACCCUUAUUGUUAGUUGCCAUCAUUAAGUUGGGCACUCUAGCNNNNNNGCCGGUAAUAAACCGGAGGAAGGUGGGGAUGACGUCAAAUCAUCAUGCCCCUUAUGACCUGGGCUACACACGUGCUACAAUGGUCGGUACAACGAGUUGCGAGCCGGUGACGGCAAGCUAAUCUCUGAAAGCCGAUCUCAGUUCGGAUUGGAGGCUGCAACUCGCCUCCAUGAAGUCGGAAUCGCUAGUAAUCGCGGAUCAGCACGCCGCGGUGAAUACGUUCCCGGGCCUUGUACACACCGCCCGUCACACCACGAGAGUUUGUAACACCCGAAGU